AUUGAACGCUGGCGGCAGGCUUAACACAUGCAAGUCGAGCGGGGGAAGGUAGCUUGCUACCGGACCUAGCGGCGGACGGGUGAGUAAUGCUUAGGAAUCUGCCUAUUAGUGGGGGACAACAUCUCGAAAGGGAUGCUAAUACCGCAUACGUCCUACGGGAGAAAGCAGGGGAUCUUCGGACCUUUCGCUAAUAGAUGAGCCUAAGUCGGAUUAGCUGGUUGGUGGGGUAAAGGCCUACCAAGGCGACGAUCUGUAGCGGGUCGGAGAGGAUGAUCCGCCACACUGGGACUGAGACACGGCCCAGACUCCUACGGGAGGCAGCAGUGGGGAAUAUUGGACAAUGGGGGGAACCCUGAUCCAGCCAUGCCGCGUGUGUGAAGAAGGCCUUAUGGUUGUAAAGCACUUUAAGCGAGGAGGAGGCUACUCUAGUUAAUACCUAGGGAUAGUGGACGUUACUCGCAGAAUAAGCACCGGCUAACUCUGUGCCAGCCGCCGCCGUAA
rnacentral:rRNA from 1 species